GACAGAGGGUGCAAACGUUGUUCGGAAUUACUGGGCGUAAAGCGCGUGUAGGCUGCUUCGCAAGUCGGAUGUGGAAGCCCUGGGCUCAACCCAGGAAGUGCAUUCGAAACUGCAAAGCUGGAGUCCUGGAGAGGAAGGCGGAAUUCUCGGUGUAGAGGUGAAAUGCGCAGAUAUCAGGAAGAACACCCGUGGCGAAGGCGGCUCUCUGGAACGCAACUGACGCUGAGACGCGAAAGCGUGGGGAGCAAACAGG
rnacentral:rRNA from 1 species